rnacentral:lncRNA from 13 species
GUUUUACUGAAGCAAGAACACAAGCAGUUAAUCAAAACUGUGACCGGCUUACUUAUGACUCUUGGUAUGCGGGCCUGAUGCUCAUCUUGGACUUGGGCUGAUUAGGACAGAAUCUCAGAGCUGACACAAAAGACACUCCUGAGGACUGAGUCUGGAAAAUGUGAGAAGGAAGUUAAUUUUGGCAAAUUUCUGAGAAAUGGAAAGAAGUAUCCACAAGAAAUUUCAUUUGUAAGAGGGACUUACUACCAGAAAAGAUGAAAAGAUUUUAAUCAUCCCAGGAGGGCUAUAUGGUCCUUUAUUGAGAUGGCCUUAUCCAAACCAGAACCCAAGUAAAGUAAAAAAAUCUCUACCAAAAGGAUGAGGAUUGAUCUGAGUAAAGACUCACCAGGGCAGAAAAGGUAAGCUGUGAAGGCGGAGGGCUCAAAGGGCUCUAGUGAGUCCUACAUACCAGUUCUGAGAAUUGCUAAUUCCUUCAGAUAGUGAACUUCUUAAAAUCGUACUUCUGACAUCAUACAUGUCAACCUGAAUAACAAACAGAGGCACUCACUAAUAGAAAAUAAUGUUUAC